rnacentral:lncRNA from 1 species
GGCCGGUUUUCUCCCAGGUAGACAUUUGUUUGCUAACACAAGGAACAUUAUUGAUAUUUUGGAACUUCUCCAAACUGACAUAAAUACAAAAGCUGUUUUAAUUUUUAUAGAUGCGGAGAAGGCCUUUGAUAACAUUUCUUGGAAAUUUAUGAUGGGAAACUUAAAAGAGAUGGGAGUGGGACGGGGUUUUGAGAAUGGGAUUGAGGCGAUAUAUUCAGAACAGAAAGCAAAACUGAUAGUUAAUAAUGUGGUUACAGAAGAGUUCAAAAUUGAAAAAGGGACACGACAAGGUUGCCCUAUUUCCCCUUUGUUAUUUAUUUCGGUCCUGGAAGUGCUAUUGAACAUGAUUAGAGGGGACCAGCUGGUGGAAGGAAUUCAGGUUGGUCAGAAACAAUAUAAAUUAAAAGCUUUUGCAGAUGACCUGGUUUUGACCUUGCAGAAGCCAGAGCCUAGUACGAAAAGAGUAUUACAAUUGAUUAAUGAUUUUGGUCGGGUGGCGGGAUUUAAAUUAAACAAACAGAAAACUAAGGUUUUGGGGAAAAAUCUGACUGAGACAGAGUCAGAACGGUUUCAGAAUGAGACGGAACUUAAUGUGGUUAAAAAGUAAAAUACCUAGGGGUAAACAUAACAGCAAAAAUCUAAGUCUAUUUAAGGAUAAUUAUGAAAAAUGUUGGAUAGAAAUUAAGAGAGACUUAGACAGUUGGUCAAAAUUGAAACUUUCUUUGUUAGGCCGAAUUGCUGCGAUUAAGAUGAAUGUAUUGCCAAGAAUGUUGUUUUUAUUUCAAACACUGCAGGUAUUGGACAAAAUGGAGUGCUUUCAGAAGUGGCAGAGAGACAUUUCGAAGUUUGUCUGGCAGGGCAAAAAGCCCAGAAUUAAGUUUAAGAUAUUAACCGAUGCUAAACAAAGAGGGGGCUUUGCCCUGCCAGACUUAAAGUUGUACUAUGAAGCCGCAGCGUUCUGCUGGCUAAAAGACUGGCUACUUCUUGAAGACACUGAUGUGUUAGAUUUGGAGGGGUUUAACAAUGUUUUUGGAUGGCAUGCAUAUUUAUGGUAUGACAAAGUUAAAGCAAAUAAGGCCUUUAAGAACCAUAUUGUUAGAAAAUCACUGUUUAAUGUCUGGACAAAAUAUAAAGACUUGCUGGAAAAUAAAACACCAAGGUGGCUUUCACCUUUGGAAGCUAAGGCCCGAAAAAGACCCAAUAUGGAGGCCAAAUGGCCAAAAUAUUGGGAAAUACUAGAAAAGAUGGAGACAAUUGGAAAUUGCAGAGCUUGGAGAAAAUGAAAGACAAAGUGCGAGAUUGGUUACACUAUGCUCAGAUUAAAGAAGUUUUUAAAAGUGAUAAGAAACUAGGGUUCCAGGUGGAGAAAUCGAAAUUAGAAACAGAAUUGUUAGAACCAAAGACUAAGAUACUUUCAAGGAUGUAUAACUUGCUGUUGGAAUGGAAUACACAGGAUGAAAUGGUUAAAUCGGCCAUGAUAAGGUGGGCACAGGAUAUUGGGUAUAAUAUUAUGUUUGAGGACUGGGAAAGGCUGUGGAGUAAUGGAUUGAAAUUUACUGCAUGUAAUGCUUUGAAAGAAAAUGUAAUGAAAAUGAUUUAUAGAUGGUAUAUGACCCCAGUCAAACUUGCAAAAAUUUACCACCUGUCUGACAACAAGUGCUGGAAAUGCAAAGAGUGUGAAGGAACGUUCUUUCACCUCUGGUGGACAUGCCCUAAAGUGAAGGCGUUCUGGGAAAUGAUUUAUAAUGAAUUGAAAAAGGUAUUUAAAUAUACUUUCACUAAGAAACCAGAGGCUUUCCUUUUGGGUAUUGUCAGCCAAGGGGUGGCAAAGAAGGACCAGACAUUUUUAUGUAUGCAACAACAGCAGCAAGGAUACUACUCGCAAAACAUUGGAAAACCCAAGAUCUACCCACACUGGAAGAAUGGCAGAUGCAACUGAUAGACUAUAUGCAACUGGCUGAAAUGACUGGCAGAAUCCGUGACCUGGGAGAAGAGAGAAUCGAGGAGGAUUGGAAGAAAUUUAAGAACUACCUACAAAAACAUUGUGAUUUGAUUGAAUGCUGAAUAAGAUGCUGGACUAAAUAACUGAGCACCACUUAACUUAGAAAUUUUUAAGGAAACAAGAAAAAUUGUGAAAGUUUAACUCUUUAUGAGAACUUUAAGAUUAUGAAAUAUCGAAGAGAUAUAAGAAUUUAAAUAAGAUGAUAAAUUGCUGACAAAAUGUUAUAAUGAUGAAGGUGGGAGCGGGAGAUGUGAGGAAGUCCAAAGAAAAUGUGAAAUUAUGUUAAGACGAAUGCUAUAUUGUUUAUUACAUUUAUUCCUAUUGUAAAACCCAAUAAAUUGCUUUAAAAAAAAAAAAAAA